rnacentral:rRNA from 1 species
AUUAUUUAAGAGCUAUAUGUUGUAAGUAAAUAAAAAUUAUGAAAGCAAAAAAUUAUGGCGGUAUUUUAAGCUUUUCAGAGGAAUUUGCUCUUUAAUGGAUAAAACACCUAAAUCUUACUUAAAUUUGUUAAUUCAAUUUGUAUACCACUAUAAAAACAAUUUAUAACUUUAAUUGUUUAAAUUUAUUAAAUUAAAAUAUAUUAAGUCAAGGUGCAGUAAAAAUUUAAGAAUGAAGUGAAUUACAUUACUCUUUAGAGAAAUAAAUUUAAAAUAAUAUUUAGGAUUUGAAAGUAAAAUUAAAAUAGAAUGUUGGUUUGAAUUAAGCUCUAAAAUAUGUA